rnacentral:rRNA from 1 species
CAGUCGCCGCGGUAAUACGUAGGUGGCAAGCGUUGUCCGGAAUUAUUGGGCGUAAAGUGUCUAUAGGUGGCUUUUCAAGUCCGCCGUCAAAUCCCAGGGCUCAACCGUGGACAGGCGGUGGAAACUACCAAGCUGGAGUACGGUAGGGGCAGAGGGAAUUUCCGAUGGAGCGGUGAAAUGCGUCGAGAUCGGAAAGAACACCAACGGAGAAAGCACUCUGCUGGGCCGACACUGACACUGAGAGACGAAAUCUAGGGGAGCAAAUGGGAUUAGAUACCCGCGUAGUCCCUGUCUCUUAUAC